UGGGAUGCAGGAGUUCUGUGCUUGCUCAGGGAGGGGUGAAUCUGUUUAACAAAAACUAAAUUGGAGCAGUCACACAAACCAGGAAUUUUUCUCAGGAUACAGAGAACAAAAAUGGGCACCACCCCAGUUCCAGUGUAAAUGGCAGAGAAAGAGCAGGGCAGAGCAUCAUGUCAGUUCUAAAGUCUGAACCAAUGUGACUGAAACCAAAGCCAUGGUGACGCUUCUUUAAUUAAAGCAUUUCUCACAAGGGCUUUGAGAUGCAGGAGAAAAAUAAUAAGGCAAGCCAACAUCAGGAGAAGCAAGCAGCCAAGGAUCAUGCUCUGCUGCUUCUCAGAAUAGCAAAGAAAAUGCAGGAAACCUUGGAAGGGACUUUGAACAUCAGAAAAAUCUUUGGCAAUACCUAAGUCCACAGUAUUUCUGAGUUAUGUGAACCUACAGCAGAAGAGGAGAGGAGACAAACUGAACUGAAGAACUGAAGGAUUAAAAAUAGCCUCAGAGAUUAGAGCUGCUCAG